AUGUUAGCCCAAAGUAGUUAUGUAAUAGCCUAGGAUGAUUUCAAAGUAUAACUAUUAUCUUCACUAUUGCAGUGCAAACUUUUUGGGCUAAAUUGUUGGCUCAACAGAUAUGCGUUGAUGAAUCCAAAUAUUUUUAAUUAGCAAAUUCAUCUCCUUUUGUUCAUUCUCUCUCUCUCUCUCUCUCUCUUCAAAGAAAAUAGAGAUUACAGCCAAUCAUGCUAGCCAAAUUUUAGAGUAAAUUUAUUCGUUGCCAA
rnacentral:lncRNA from 1 species